AAAUGACAGGUUGCUGGAUUUGGCAUUAUGAUACAUGAUAUAAAAUAACACGCAGAAUACAGACUCCGGCUUACGUGUCGUACAUGCACAAUUUCAAACUGGAAUUUUUGCGCGGAGUGUUUUACUUAUAUAGAGGGUGCAUAUGUAAGCGUAAUUUCAUUCCACCGUGUAUUUAUUCCGGGUAUCUGUUUUUCACUAGAGAAUAUUGGAAGUAAAAAGUGUCACGAGCGUCGAUCUUGGUAUCGUUGUUUUGUUUAUAUUGACCGGUUUAUUGUUUACAUAUACAUUUAUGGGUUGAAAUAAUUUUCAGGGAAUUAGUUUAAUAGUCCUUCAUUACUGAGUAAAAAUAUAAUUUUUUCGUCAAUAGACAAGUUAUAAAAUUGAUCGUUAUGUUUUACUGCUUCAUUAUACAAUAUAUUUCGAAGGUCUGCAUAUAAAGGACAUAAAGUAACUAUAUGUUUCUCAUCUUCAAUUUCGUUUUUACACAUAAAACAACAUCUUUCAUUUAUUGGCUUUUUCUCAUAUCGUCCUGUUUCUAUUUUAAGUGGCGCAACGCCACAUCUAAAUUUUGCAUAAGCACUUCUAAAUUUAAUAGACAUAUAUUUUGUUUUAAAUAUAACUCUGUACAAUAUUGUGAUUUAUAUCGCUUAUAAGUACGAAGCUUGUUACCAUUACUCUGUGACAAAAUUUUCGUUUGCCAUUCUGCAAUAUAUUUAUUAAAUAAAACAUUUUCAAUUUGUA
rnacentral:lncRNA from 1 species